UCUGAAGCAGAAACAACGGACUCCGAAACAAAAACAGGGGAUCCUCUGCAGAAAACGGUGCGCCUUCUUUCUAUUCAUAGAUCAUUGCUGUUUCUUCUGCUUUGCUUGCUUUCUAUUUCUGCUUUAUUCUGGUGAAGAGAGACAAUGAACCGAUUCUAAAACGUGCAACCAAGGACAAUCUUUAUUAAAAUUCCCCAUCUUACUUGGAAUCUCCAUAUGCUGCGUGCGUGUGUGUGUGUCAACUUCGGUGGUGAGGUUGGGGGAUAUUACAUCCCUCACCAUCUUAUAACAAAAGGGACCUCAACUCACCUUAUUUUUUCCUUUUGCAGAACCAGGAAAACGAAAAGCUUGGGUGCGCGUGUUUCACGGAAAUUUUAAUAUUUGGAAAACAUUUUCUAAAAACUAUGUAUCUCUUUAAAAAAGAAAUGUUUGAAAAAUAUUUUCAUCACCCAUGAAAUUAAUUAUAUAUAAAUUAUUAUCGAUAAUAAAAAUAUUUUCCGUAAACUAAUUUUUUAAACGAUAUAACUAAUUAUUUUUCGAAAAAUAUUUUUUUAAAUUUUAAGUUUUUCGUGAAAUAAGCACCUUUAAAGUACUAGAGUCAUUGCAAUAUUUGUCUGAAAUUUGUAAUUUGAACAAAAUCCCGAACUGAAUUGGGAUUAGGGUUCUUUUUCAAAUUGCUGUCCCCCAAACCUCGGCCGCUCCGCGGCCAAUCCUCGGUCGCUGCUCGCUCAUUCAUGGCAAGCUUCAGUCCGUCGUUCGCCGUCAUCUCUUGUUUCCCAGGUUCCGUCGUCCGCGAGCUUCAAGUCCUUCUUCGCGAGCUUCAAGUUCCAUGUCCGUGACCUUCAAGUCCUUCUUCAGUGCCACUUGCCACUCUCGUGCACAUUUUCAUCUUCACUGCCGCUCGGCUGGAGUAAUUUUGGUGCUACAUGAGAGGCUCCGAUGGCUGCGCUCGUUAACUCCACCAGUGGCGGGAGGGCAUGGGCCUGAACUCAAGCUCUGGAAUCACCAGCUAAUCGCUGAAGAACAGGUUCAUCUUAUUGUGGGCAUAAUCGAUCAAGUUGAGGGGACAAUAUAAGUUUCAUGGAUGCAGCCAAGAGUUUUGGGGAUUCCACAGGUCAAAUUACUGCAUGACCUACUGGACAAUUGGCUGGACAAAUUACACACGGCUUGGGUAUCUGUUGAAGCAGAAACACCGGAUCUUGUCGCUUCAUGAUUACUCCCACGUUCCCAUUCUCCAUUUUGCGACAAUCAUCUGAUUUGAACUGAAAGAAGGGAGAAAAGUGAGACGCUUUGUUGCAAGCUGCUUGGUCAGGCGGUUGUGUUUCUCAAUUUACUUCCCUGGUGCUUCAUUGUUUUAUGCCUAAUUCUUCUCCGGAAUCAGCAAUUCCUUCCUACUUUCUCACGUCUAAGAUGAGUCCUCUCAAAGCUGUGGUGACAUGGUUUUAUCCUUUGGAUUUGGUCAUUGGAACAUGUACUGAUUUCUUUUGCUCAAUCGUGUCCAUUUCGAUCCACCAUCAUGUGGAUCGACGAAUGCUGUGGGAGAUUUUUUUGUAGCUUAUGACUUCCAGAAUGAAUAUAUUUAAAUGAAUGCACACCUUCUUCGUA